rnacentral:guide_RNA from 1 species
GAUACUUACAAUACGUGUAUAAUAUGAUUGAAAUUGGACGUCUAU